AAUGAAACGUGGACGGAGACUAGUACUUUUAUUUAUCUAACACAGAGAGGAAGAGAAUGCUGAGACUCUUCUAUAGAUAAUUUUAGGAACCUAUCUCUAGAGUUCGCCAUCGAAAGGCUCUGCUAUAAGAUGUGCGCGGUGAAAUCCGUUAUCUACGUAAAGUGUGUAUCCGAUUUUGGAUGCAAACAAGGGUGGUACCACCAGACCUCGGUCCCUUUU
rnacentral:ncRNA from 1 species